GCCUGUAUGAAGCCGGAAUUGCUAGUAAUGGCAGGUCAGCAUACUGCCGUGAAUACGUUCCCGGGCCUUGUACACACCGCCCGUCACACCAUGAGAGUUGGGGAUACCCAAAGCCCGUGAGCCAACUUAUAAGAGGCAGCGGUCUAAGGUAGAAUCAAUGAUUGGGGUGAAGUCGUAACAAGGUAAC
rnacentral:rRNA from 1 species